rnacentral:miRNA from 1 species
GUAAGUAUAAUUACAUUAUUUUGCAGUGUGAAAUGGGAAUUGAGAAGAAGAAAAUGAAAACUAUCAGGUUCAAAGUCUGAAGAGGUACAAUAUCUAUUUCUAAAUAACAUUGGUGUAUCAAGUUUGUGUAUUUUCAACCCAAAAGUAUUCAAUAAAGAU